CCCAGCCUUUCCACAUCCUGUGUGCGUUCGCAGUGCUCCCAUCUCCAAGACAUCCACCAAGGCGCUGACAAGCAGUGCCCCGAACGGGCAUGGGUGGGCCAGAGGAGGUGGCUGUGCCCUCAGCAGCCACCGGGAAGCUUCAAGAAGCUGGCAGCCCCAGCAAUUGGAUGGUCUGCACAGCUGCACAAAGCCAGGGACCUCUUGCCAAAUGUUAAUGAAGUGUCUGAAAGGAGAAUUAAAAUGCCGGAGCUGCUGCAAGCCCCGCUCAGCCAGCUGGGGAGCCGGGACAGAGGGAGAGCCCCAACCCACCAGGGACUUACCUGACGUUGCCACUGUCCAAAGGACCAUCUCCCGGCUGGAAACCAGCGGUGACUACAGUGAGCUAGGAAUCAGGGGCCCAUUGAAGUUUUAGAAAAGCUACCAAGUGCCAUCCACCGAGCGGGGGCCCCUGAGAUGCGAGAGACAGCUCCUGGCCCGGAAGGGUGCCCCGUCUGCAGCCCCUGACCUGGGGGAAGAAGUAUCUCUUCCAGAUGCUCAAAGCCCAGCCUGGGACACUAAAACAUAAAGAAACAGUGUCGAUCCCACAUGGGCACACUGCCUGAGCUCGCACACCAGCUCUGGGGCCCCCGAGGGGGUUCGAUGGAUGCCAGAGCUGCUGCCUAGAAAAGCUUGUUGAUCACCAGAAGAUGGGAAACCCAUGAAGAUGAUUUGGUUCUCUCAAAAACAAGUUAAAUCUUGAAACCUUAUUACAUGGGGAGAAAUGUCAGAGGGAUUUGAAUGCCAUUAAAACAUAAUCAGUG
rnacentral:lncRNA from 12 species